CAGCUACUGUAGACUGUGAGAAUGAGCACUGUGUUUGCUCUUACUCUGUAGCUGCAAUAAAAUCAUAUAAUCCAUUUUUCCAAACCAGGAUUUUUUUUCAUAAUCAACUUUUUUUCAUAUCAUACUGAAAUUAUGUUCUAAAUAUUUCAUUUUUCCUACAAGCUGCCCCUAUUCCUAUUCUUCUGCCUCUUGUUCCACCUCCAGAGAAGAAAAAGCCAGGUCAGAAUACUUACAGUAUUUGAACAGUGUGUACAUGUUUCAUGACUGUUGGGCUUUGGGUUUUUGUUUGGUUUUUGAGGGGAUUGUUUAAUUUAUUUUUAAUUAAAUUUUUUAAUAAAUAUUUUAUUCUUAAACAGAAAAAAAGGUUCCACUAAAGAAAGUCCCACAAAAGGUGGUUAAAAAAGUUCCUGAAGAAGUCACACCACCUAAAGUUCCUGAGGUGCUGCCAGAGAAGCCCAAAGAGGUCAAAAUAACAUCUAUGGCAAGGAGAGAAGAGAUACAUGAAGAAAAGAAGGAAAUAUAUGAAAUGCCUAAAGAAACUUAUGAAGAAUGGGAAGAAGAUUAUGGUGAAGACCAUGAUUAUUAUGUCAAGGAAGAAGGCUACGAUGAAGGGGAAGAGGAAUGGGAAGAAACUUAUGAGAAAAGAGAAGUGACUUAUGAAGAAAAAAGAGUCAUUCAUGAAGAAGUGGUUGAAGUUCCUAAGAAACCUGUGCCUGAGCGAAAACCACCAGCAAUUACAGCUGAAAAGAAGGAAAAGAAGGAAGUAACAGUUCAAAAAGUUGUCAAGAAGCCUGUCGAUGAAAAAGUGGAGAUGACCACUCAGAGGGUUACAGAAGAAAAAGUCAAACGAGCUGAGGUUACCAAGAAAGUUGUACCACCAAAACCUACACCAAUGGUCAUUGAGGAAAAAGUUAUGAAAAAGGAAGUACCGACAGUAGAAACAUGGACUGUUUCAGAAGAAAAGAUGUCAGUUUCUGUCCAGAGAGAAGAAGAGUAUUCAUAUGUUACAGGUAUGUACAAAACCAAAAAUCUGUGA
rnacentral:lncRNA from 1 species